GUGGGGAAUUUUGGACAAUGGGCGAAAGCCUGAUCCAGCCAUUCCGCGUGAGUGAAGAAGGCCUUCGGGUUGUAAAGCUCUUUCGGCAGGAAAGAAAUCGUCGUUCCUAAUACGAGCGAUGGAUGACGGUACCUGAAGAAGAAGCACCGGCUAACUACGUGCCAGCAGCCGCGGUAAUACGUAGGGUGCGAGCGUUAAUCGGAAUUACUGGGCGUAAAGCGUGCGCAGGCGGUUUUGUAAGUCAGAUGUGAAAGCCCCGGGCUCAACCUGGGAAUGGCGUUUGAAACUGCAAGGCUAGAGUGUGUCAGAGGGGGGUAGAAUUCCACGUGUAGCAGUGAAAUGCGUAGAGAUGUGGAGGAAUACCGAUGGCGAAGGCAGCCCCCUGGGAUAACACUGACGCUCAUGCACGAAAGCGUGGGGAGCAAACAGGAUUAGAAACCCGAGUAGUCC
rnacentral:rRNA from 1 species